CUUUAUUAUUUAUUAUCAGAAACCAUUCGUUCAUUAUUGGGUCAUCUGGUCAGUAUGUCUCGUAUAAAUGCCCACACAUUAUGACAAAUGACUUGAUCGCAAAUAAAAACGUUCAUCACAGACAAUAAUAGGUGUAUAUAACUGUCACAUAAGCAUAAAACAUUGUUAACAGUCUGUGAUAUACAAAUUAUAUUAAUUUAUAGUAAAUGACCAAAACA
rnacentral:lncRNA from 1 species